UACGGAGGGAGCUAGCGUUGUUCGGAAUUACUGGGCGUAAGGCGCACGUAGGCGGCUUUGUAAGUUAGAGGUGAAAGCCCGGGGCUCAACUCCGGAACUGCCUUUAAGACUGCAUCGCUUGAAUCCAGGAGAGGUGAGUGGAAUUCCGAGUGUAGAGGUGAAAUUCGUAGAUAUUCGGAAGAACACCAGUGGCGAAGGCGGCUCACUGGACUGGUAUUGACGCUGAGGUGCGAAAGCGUGGGGAGCAAACAGG
rnacentral:rRNA from 1 species